rnacentral:rRNA from 1 species
CCUACGGGGGGCAGCAGUGGGGAAUAUAGGACAAUGGGGGGAACCCUGAUCCAGCCAUGCCGCGUGUGUGAAGAAGGCCCUCGGGUUGUAAAGCACUUUCAGUGAGGAAGAACGCCUGGUGGUUAAUACCCAUCAGGAAAGACAUCACUCACAGAAGAAGCACCGGCUAACUCCGUGCCAGCAGCCGCGGUAAUACGGAGGGUGCGAGCGUUAAUCGGAAUUACUGGGCGUAAAGCGCGCGUAGGUGGCUUGAUAAGCCGGUUGUGAAAGCCCCGGGCUCAACCUGGGAACGGCAUCCGGAACUGUCAAGCUAGAGUGCAGGAGAGGAAGGUAGAAUUCCCGGUGUAGCGGUGAAAUGCGUAGAGAUCGGGAGGAAUACCAGUGGCGAAGGCGGCCUUCUGGACUGACACUGACACUGAGGUGCGAAAGCGUGGGUAGCAAACAGGAUUAGAUACCCUUGUAGUC